UACGUAGGGUGCGAGCGUUAAUCGGAAUUACUGGGCGUAAAGCGUGCGCAGGCGGUUUUUUAAGCCAGAUGUGAAAUCCCCGGGCUCAACCUGGGAACUGCAUUUGGAACUGGAAGACUAGAGUAUAGCAGAGGGGGGUAGAAUUCCACGUGUAGCAGUGAAAUGCGUAGAUAUGUGGAGGAAUACCAAUGGCGAAGGCAGCCCCCUGGGUUAAUACUGACGCUCAUGCACGAAAGCGUGGGGAGCAAACAGGAUUAGAUACCCUGGUAGUCCACGCCCUAAACGAUGUCAACUAGGUGUUGGGGGAGGAGACUUCCUUAGUACCGCAGCUAACGCGUGAAGUUGACCGCCUGGGGAGUACGGUCGCAAGAUUAAAACUCA
rnacentral:rRNA from 1 species